GCGAAAGUGAAUAUAAAAGUCAC
rnacentral:miRNA from 1 species